AUUUUGACUUCAUGACCGUGUAAUGGAAAGUUGAGUAUAUUACUUGAAUUACAGAUAAUAUUUUUCUAUGAUGAUUACCAACUCAGCUCGCUAUGAUAGAAACAUGAAGAAAAAUUGUUCCUACAAUUCCUACGCAUUGAAACUAAUACUGAUGUUGUUCGUCAUCAUAACCGUCGAUAUCAAUAUUUUAGGUAGCCCAUCAUUAACUACACAUUUUCUUCGAUCAUUUCGCAGUGGUCAUCCGAACAGCAAGGAAUUGUCAUCCGAACAGCAAAGUUAUGCCAAACGACCUUCGGCGAAAUGACCUGAUACCGUUUCAUCUUGAUACAUGUUACAUGUUCGCAAAGCAGUCACACAUCAGAACAUGUUUCGUAGUGGUCAAAGCAGCAAACUAUUGCUGCUAUACUGGCAACUGAUUCAUGGAACAGCGUAGCAUGAUACUCUUGCGAUCACAUCAAUGUUUGUUCGUACUGGUCGAUCCACCUGAAAGGAUGCGAAUCUCCAGAUGGCAUGGCAUUUUUACGUGAUUUAAUGCAUCAAAUCAAUAGUAAAACUCAGUGCUUUUGUAUAAAUUUAAGUGUGAACCUGCGCCGCUGAAAACUACAGCACAAAUGUAUUAUUCAUGCAAUCACAUAAACAUAUUCUGAUAGUAACCUCGGCAAAAGACCAAACGUUUAAAACGUUCAUUCAUUCAUUCCCUGGUUGGUGAAUCUAUCUAAAAGGAUUGACCAAAUGGCGAGCAGUUUCAUGAGCUUGAAAUAUAAACUUUCUAGUAAAACUGCGCUUUUGGAUGAUCUCAUGUGUGAACCUGUUCCGCUAAGAAUUUCUGCAUAAAUGUAGCACUCGGUCAAAUUAUAGUGCUAAGAUAAACAUUGCUUUUCUAGUCCUGGUGAAGCUAAUGGAGCGUGUUCAGUAAUGGCGACGUAAAAUGGAACAUCGAAUCGCAGAAGUGUUGAGGUACAUGCAAAUGUUUCGAUGCUUUUCUAAUACAUUUUAUCAUAUGUGUGCGGACGUACUUCAAGAUAGAAAAACCGGACCUUCCGCUAUGAUACAUUCAAUAUGUGCAUUGCUUCUAAAGAACACUUACUGGUUUCGUAUGCUGCGUAACAUAAUAAAAUGACGGGUAUCAUUUGGGCACUGGUCUUACAAGCCAGUUGUCGUAUGUUCGAGCCCCUACCUGGAAAGGUUCUUACACCCCUGUUCUGAAAUUCGAUCGGAACGGAUUACUUCUACCGAAUUCAAAAUUGUGCGUUCUUUAUAUCGAACGAGUUCGAGUUUUCCAUACAAAAAAGUAGCAAUCGAUCGAAUUGCAGAAUGCAAAUUCUCAUAUUCUGUUGAAACAAUCAGAAUCGAUCGAAAUGCAGAAUAGGGUUGUCAGUGUCAGUAGGAUCGUAACACAAGCCAUGCAAUGGUUCUGUACGCUUUGAAUCGGUUUCGAAGUCUGUUGAAACAGAAGGUAAAAAGUACGCAAAAGGAAUGUAAUACCAAGGCUUUUGCGGUGUGUUUGUUGAUACAUAAAUUACAUGCAAUAAAAAUUUUCGUUCCACA